rnacentral:rRNA from 1 species
GAUAGGGGAUACCCUACUUAUGCCAUAUAAACAUGGUGUAGGAACGACUUAGUCGUAUAAAGUUCUGGCAAAAGAGUGAUAAUGACAACCUUUUGCCAUGUGGCCUUGACCAAAUUACGUGCCAGCAGUCGCGGUAAUACGUAGAAGGCUAGUGUUAUUCAUCUUUAGUGGGUUUAAAGGGUACCUAGACGGUAGAUUAAGCCUUAUAAAAGAAAGGGACUGCUCUGCUAGAGUUACUUGCGAUGGGGCAUUAAAGUACUGCUGGUGUAGAGAUGAAAUUCGUUGAUACCUAUCUUCAAAGGAAGAACGACGGCACAGGUAACGGUGAAGGCAUCCCCUUAUAGGAUAACUGACGUUGAGGGACGAAGGCUUUGUGUAGCGAACAGGAUUAGAUACCCUAAUAGUCGAAGCAGAAAAUGAUGAAUGUCAUAGGUUAGGUCAUCUUAUCCUAUAAAUGAAAGUGUAAGCAUUCCACCUCAAGAGUAAUUUGGCAACAUUGGAACUGAAAUCAUUAGACCGUUUCUGAAAACAGUAGUGGAGUAUGUUGUUUAAUUUGAUAAUACACAAAGAACCUUACCACAAUUUGAAUAUUUGGAUAGAAUCACCUUUACGGCGCCUAUUACAGGAGCUGAUAUCCAUUUACAAGCGUUGCACGGCUGUCUUCAGUUAAUGUCGCGAGACUCUGGUUGGUUCCACUAAAUUAACGUAAACCCUUCCCCUAGUUUGAUGUAGGGGAGUUCUCCGCUAUAUUGGAUAUGAUAAC